GGCUACUAUGAGUGACGAAUUUAGUUAUAAAUUCGAUGAUGUAGAGCCGAAAGAAUUACUUCAAAUGUUGAACAAAUCUUUUGGCACACUUGAGGAUUUAUCCUCAACAGGACAUCAAUCCUCUAAGAGAGAAAAUAUAAGUAUGAUGUAGUGGUAUUAUGCUAGGGCAUCCAUGCUCAAUCAAACUAAUUAGUCUAAGGCAAAUCAAAGUCAAGCA
rnacentral:lncRNA from 1 species